GACGAAUGCUGGCUGCGUGCUUAACACAUGCAAGUCGAACGGUGAAGGGGAGCUUGCUCCCCGGAUCAGUGGCGAACGGGUGAGUAACACGUGGGCAACCUGCCCCUCACUCUGGGAUAACUCCGGGAAACCGGGGCUAAUACCGGAUACGACCGGGAGCGACAUCGCUCCUGGUGGAAAGAACUUCGGUGAGGGAUGGGCCCGCGGCCUAUCAGCUAGUUGGUGGGGUAACGGCCCACCAAGGCGACGACGGGUAGCCGGCCUGAGAGGGCGACCGGCCACACUGGGACUGAGACACGGCCCAGACUCCUACGGGAGGCAGCAGUGGGGAAUAUUGCGCAAUGGGCGAAAGCCUGACGCAGCGACACAGCGUGAGGGACGAAGGCCUUCGGGUUGUAAACCUCUUUCAGCGGGGACGAAGCGAAAGUGACGGUACCCGCAGAAGAAGCACCGGCUAACUACGUGCCAGCCGCCGUCGUAA
rnacentral:rRNA from 1 species